rnacentral:rRNA from 1 species
AUUGAACGCUGGCGGCAUGCCUUACACAUGCAAGUCGAACGGCAGCAUAGGAGCUUGCUCCUGAUGGCGAGUGGCGAACGGGUGAGUAAUAUAUCGGAACGUGCCCUAGAGUGGGGGAUAACUAGUCGAAAGACUAGCUAAUACCGCAUACGAUCUACGGAUGAAAGUGGGGGAUCGCAAGACCUCAUGCUCCUGGAGCGGCCGAUAUCUGAUUAGCUAGUUGGUGGGGUAAAAGAUCACCAAGGCGACGAUCAGUAGCUGGUCUGAGAGGACGACCAGCCACACUGGGACUGAGACACGGCCCAGACUCCUACGGGAGGCAGCAGUGGGGAAUUUUGGACAAUGGGGGCAACCCUGAUCCAGCAACGCCGCGUGAGUGAAGAAGGCCUUCGGGUUGUAAAGCUCUUUUGUCAGGGAAGAAACGGUUCUGGAUAAUACCUGGGACUAAUGACGGUACCUGAAGAAUAAGCACCGGCUAACUACGUGCCAGCAGCCGCGGUAA